CGACCAUAGCGUUGUGGACCCACCUGAUUCCAUGCCGAACUCAGAAGUGAAACGCAAUAGCGCCGAUGGUAGUGUGGGGCUUCCCCAUGUGAGAGUAGGACAUCGCCAGGC
rnacentral:rRNA from 1 species